CAGUGAGGUGAAAGGUGAACCGCGAGGGACCACUGUAGUUUUGAAGCGUUUCCCACUGCUUCGACACCUUGUGUUCAACCGGGAAGCCAGCUUUCCAGGGCCAAUUUGGCUGGGCGCACCAAUCAGGUGUAAAUUGCCCACAACAAUAUGGUUCCUGGGAUUAUCCAGGUGCAUAAAGGUCUCCCCUACAAUAAGGUGGAAAUUCAUCAAACUGAUUGGCAUCCUUGUGCCUUAGGAUUACCUUGUUGUCAGUGGUGUCACUGCUUAGACUGCUGCUCACACAAUGGAUGUAUCGAUGGAUGAAUUUUAAAAUAUCUUUGUGUUAAUCCAUAAAAAAUAGAAAAACAUAACAAUUUUGUUUGCUAUCUGAACCAUUAAGAUGUCUUUUUCCAGUAUUCCAACUUCGAGAUAAGCACAAGUGAUCUAAAAAAAUGUAUUUAGUCACCCUAA